GCUUUGUAAUUUAUUGAUAACAAUAUACAUCAUCAUUAUGUUGGGCAGUGUAGUAUUAUUCAGUGGGAGAUCUAGAAAUUUUCAUAAGAGGGUUCCACUGACUGCCUGGGGGGGGGGGGGGGGGGGGAUUCCGUCACGCUUCAGUGAUUCCCUAUAUCACCAACCAAAAUUUUUCUGAAAAGGGGGUACCCGGACCCCCUGCCCCCACUCCCUAAAUCCGCCUCUGUUAUUGGCACUAAAUUUAAAAACACAUUAAAAAAUGAACAGUUUAAACAAUAACGUAUUGAUUAAAUUAACUCUUAAACAAAGAAAACAUGAAAUAAAUUUGCAGUAGCACAUAUGAAAAAAUAAAACACCAGAGAAACCAAUAAAAACAUAAAAAG
rnacentral:lncRNA from 1 species